UGUGUCUAGUCAUUUUUCUUUAGUGAACCUAAUCAUGUUAAUUUAUGUGACGGUUAAAAACUCAUUUACCACAAGUUUUUUAAAAAAAGUUGUUCAUUUGUUGCUUUAUUUCUUGCAAACCAUAGCAAGAAACUAGAAUUACCAGAUGUGAACAUAAUAGAUCUUUAAACAUAUUGGUUGAUGUGGUACAUUAAUACCUCUUGUCUGGCAUGGAUGUUCUAGAAAUGUGACUGAACUGCGCUGGUUGAACAAGCUGUUGUGGCUGGCAGAUAUCAUGACUGUGCAAAGAGUUCGCUACGUCAGAGUGUACGUUUUAGGACGUCUUCAGACCUCAGCAGAUAAAAAACGGCUUUGGUUAUCAGGAUCGUACAACUGAACAUCAGGCAAAAUGGCUACAGACAAAGGCUGCUGAAGUUCUUGUAACAUAACAUUCUUUCCUGUUUUUCAAGAGUAAUUAUAGUUUUGUGGCAAAAUUAAAGAUAACAGAACAUUAGUUAUAUUCCACACAAGAAAAUAUAUACUAUAUUGGCACGGUAUACUAUAUUGGGAUUGAGAAUUCAAAACUCUGUGUAUGUAAGAAAUGUAGAUGUUUAAAUGGUGAACAUUUAAUCAAAUAAGGAAUGGUUUCCAGUUAAAAUCUCAGUUAAAAUCCCAAUUCAAAUAUGCAGAGUAUGCUGGUGAUGGUAAAAGAGCAAUAGUUCUUGUCCACAAGAGCAACUGUUUGCAGGAAUACAGUGUUUGUGCGUUGUAUGUGAUUACUUGAGGUACCAAAAACUAAAAGGAUGGUUGGUAAGUCCAGUAAUGUGUGAUUAAACUGGUAAAAACAUUUGGAGACAGUACAUAGCUAAGUACUUUUAACCUUUGUCCAUUUCCCUCUGUGUGGUGACAGAAGAAAAUUUAAAGAACAUGUAGAUGAUAAACUGUUAAAUGUAAUGAACAGUGCCUUUUUUUCCUUAGCUUUGGAUGAAAGAUGAGCAACGUGAGCUAGUUACUAUACAUAAGCCAUGGACAAAUUAGUUAAUACAUGCAACGACUUUAGUUUCGCAGUAGCAUUUGGCUGCAUACCUCCAGAGAGAGGUUGUUUCUUGCAGCUCCAGCAGAAGAACCCUGUGAUGUCAUCUGGGGUCUCUCAUAUGAGGUGGAAGAUAUGUUCAUUUUUAAAGCUCAGGGGUGCUAUUGUUGUUUUCUGCUGUGUCUGCUGCUAAUUUCAUCAGUAAACAACAGAGUAAGUUCCAAAUUAGAUUAUCACCUUAUGGAUAGUCGGGGAAAAUUGUACUUAACACAAGACUUUAAAGAAGGUUUUUAGUUUGCUAAGCUAGCUACUAUAACUAGUUUAUAGGAUAGCAGGCCAGCGUUAGCAUUAGCUAAGACUACAUAGUUAAUCUGUCGUCUUUAGUGUUGUUCGACAAAUUAUCCUAAUGUUAAACCAGUUUAAUUGUGCUUUCAGUUUUUCAAGUUGCUGAAUCACUCAUCUGCUUCUUUUGUUGUAACUCAGUAUGAUUGAACAUUUUCAACAUAUAGAUCUUUGAUUUUAGGUUUGAGUGUUUUCAUAGAAUAUUCUUUGUGAUUUCUAGAUAACUAGCCUGUUAAAAGUUCUGAAACGUGAUGUAGAGACAGUUUGCAUAUCUUAUAUUAUUUAAGAUGUAACAGAUCACAGAGGAAAAAAAAUCUGUCUUAAGAUUGUCUCAGAGAAAUAAAGCAGAUCUCAAUAUUAUAUUAAUGGAGAAUCACUGACUUCUGAAUUGUUUCUCUUAAUCCCCCAUUAGGAGAAAAGAGGAGAUUAACAUCAGCAUUUCACUAUAAGACGUUCUGAAGUCUAAUUUUGAUUUCGAACUGGACUUAACUACGUCUAGGGGAAGUAACUGAGAUGAAGAAGAGAUCUCAUUUAUAAUAUUUCUUUCCUCUGGGAUGUAACAGCUGCCCUGCAGUCGAUAAAGCGAUUAUUAAAAUUCUGUUCAGUUCUAGCAGAAUUACCUGUAGCUGUUUACAUGCACACUAAUUAUAGCUGUAUCUAAGCUAAGACAAGUUUGACUGUGUACCAUUAAAUCACUUUAAAGAUUUCAAUUCAUAUAUGUCUAAUGAGUCCCAAAGAGAAUGCAUUAUCUUAUGAUGGCGGUACGUGUUAAGGGGAAGACACCAAGUGAAAGGCAUGAGGAAAAUACUAUGCAUUAAUUGCUCAAAUUUUUAUCCACCUCCUCAUGAACAUUGGUAUUCUUCUUCUUCUUCGUCUUCUUCUUCUUUUUCUUCGUCUUCUUCUUCUUCUUCUUAUUAUUAUUAUUAUUAUUAUUAUUAUUAUUAUUAUUAUUUUUACGUGAUUAUGCUCUUGCUUUUGUCACAGUCAAAAGCCCUGCUGAGAGGUAAACUAGGACUGCUCUUCCAACUUCCAAAGAUAAAGAAGUUCAAGCAGAUCACCCAGGAACCAAUAUUUACGAUCCAUUCCAACCAGUUCUCUGGUGAUGUUUGCAGCUCUAAAUCCUAUGGAUGGAAGAGGCGACAGAGACUGUGGAGUAGUACAUGUCGUGCAGAGAGAGCUGGGACAAAAAUGAGAAGGAGAAAAGAUGUGGCCUUGUCCAUUAAAAAAAAUGAGGACAUGUGUCUCUUCUUGGAUAUAUUUGUUGACAACCAGCACUUUUGUUUGUUCUGUCAAGUUGUCCAAUAUUUAGAGAUAGGUAGUAUCUAGUUACAUUUGCUCAAGUACAUGUACUUGAUGGUGGUCUGAUCUUUCAUUUUCUGUUGCUUUAUCUUUAGAUUCUUCUGAAUUUGCUGUUGUAUUUUCUGCUUACCAUACAACAGAAAAACUAGAGCAAUUUUUCAUCAGGACAUACCUUCUUUUCCAUAUAUUUUUAAUACUGUAACAGUUGAAAAUGUACAUAUAUAUAUAUAAUUCUUUUGUGAAGUACACUCUGAAUCUGUUAUGCACUUGGUUAGGUCCUGUACCUCAUUAUUUUAUUCAAACUCAUGUAUACAAUUACUUUUCUUUGGCCUUCAAAGAAGUACUCUUUGGUAUUUUUAGCUGUAAGAGGGUAGAUAUAAACGGAGUUUUUUUUUUUUUUAUUAUCUGUUCUUUUUACUGAUCAGAUUAUAUAUUCAAAAUGUAUUCUAUAAUGUACAUUGUUAACUCUGUCAUUCUGUGUAAAGAGUGAAUACAUGAAAAUGUCUUCUAGCAGAAGGUGUUUACUGCUUUGAGGUUUAAUUCUUCUCUAAGUGUCAAGUUUGUUCAUUUAAACAUUUUGAAACGUAAACAAUUACCAACAUAGAUUAAAACAGCUCAAAAAGGAACUGCAUUGUAA